rnacentral:lncRNA from 10 species
AUUCACUGAUCCUCACAUCCUCUCCAAUUCUUGAGAUUAUCAUGGCUUAACUGAGAGAUAUUACAUGGUAUCUUAUUUUUAUGUGUGUAUUUUGUGGGAUACACUUUGCAUAUUUAAAAUUCACCCAUUUGAGUAUAUAGUUUUAUGAAUUCUGAAAAAUGCUUACAUUUUGGCCUAAUCUACAGAGCUUCUUAUUUGACCCUUUACUUUACAUCUCUCAAACUUAUUUAUAUAUUUUUCAUCCCCUCACCUCACAAUGCUGUAUUUAGGGGAUUUUUGAGACAAGUUUGUAUUAGAUCUUUCAUUAGCUGUUUUUUUUUUCUUUUCCCUAUUAGUUUAGCUUUAUUUUCAAUGACCUAACCUUUGUAGGGGGAAAAAAAUUUACUUCAGUGGAAAGCUAUACAUUGUCCAGUUUCUAGAUGACGCCCCUGCAAGUUAUUUGAUCCAGAUUCUAUGGAAGUUACUUUACAACUUCAUGAAUUGUAGAUGAUAUCAACGCAAAUGAUUCUAUGUACUGACACAAAUUCUGUCCUAUCCUGCAGAGGUUCAGUUUACUUCCCCCCUACAGUGAAAAAUCUUUCCCCAGCUCUUCUGCAGUUAUUACAAAAUUUUCUAUCUCUAAAUGUAUCUGUUCUUUGCAUUCUUUUUUGAAAUGGUUAUAAUUACUUGUUUCUCUAAUGAAUCAAAUAAACUCUUUGGCA